ensembl:lncRNA
CACCAAUAGAUCCUUUUUGGAUGCAGGCUGCAGUACCAUACUGAUUUGAUACUGUAACAAAGUGCUGCACUUGAUAUGCCAGCAAAUUUGGAAAACUCAGCAGUGGUCACAGGUCUGGAAAAGGUCAGUUUUCAUUCCAAUCCCAGAGAAAGACAAUGCCAAAGAAUAUUCAAACUACCACACAAUUGCACUCAUCUCACAUGCUAGCAAAAUAAUGCUCAAAAUUCUCCAAGCUAGGCUUCAACAGUACAUGAACCAAGAACUUCCAGAUGUUCAAGCUGGAUUUAGAAAAGGCAGAGGAACCAGAGAUCAAAUUGCCAACAUCCGUUGGAUCAGAGAAAAAGCAAGGGAAUUCUACAAAAAUAUCUACUUCUGCUUCAUUGACUAUGCUAAUGCUUUUGACUGUGUGGCUCACAAACUGUGGAAAAUUCUUGGAGAUGGGAAUACUAGACCACCUUAUUUGCCUCCUGAGAAACCUGUGUGUAGGUCAAGAAACAACAGUUAGCACUGGACAUGGAAGAAUGAACUAGUUCAAAAUUUGGAAGGAAUUUUGCAGGUGUGUUGUCACAGAACAAGAAGAAAUGAAUUCACUCAAAGGGCCCAAGAGUUACAUACCAAAGCUGGGAGACAGGAAAAAUCUGUUGAUACAGAGCACCUGUUUGAGUUUCCU